GUGAGGAAUAUUGGUCAAUGGACGAGAGUCUGAACCAGCCAAGUAGCGUGAAGGAUGACUGCCCUAUGGGUUGUAAACUUCUUUUAUAAGGGAAUAAAGUGAGAGACGUGUCCCUUUUUGUAUGUACCUUAUGAAUAAGGAUCGGCUAACUCCGUGCCAGCAGCCGCGGUAAUACGGAGGAUCCAAGCGUUAUCCGGAUUUAUUGGGUUUAAAGGGAGCGUAGGUUGACAUAUAAGUCAGCUGUGAAAGUUUACGGCUCAACCGUGAAAUUGCAGUUGAUACUGUAUGUCUUGAGUGUACAAGAGGUGGGCGGAAUUCGUGGUGUAGCGGUGAAAUGCUUAGAUAUCACGAAGAACUCCAAUUGCGAAGGCAGCUCACUGGGGUACAACUGACACUGAGGCUCGAAAGUGUGGGUAUCAAACAGGAUUAGAAACCCUAGAGUCC
rnacentral:rRNA from 1 species